UACGUAGGCAGCGAGCGUUGUUCGGAGUUACUGGGCGUAAAGGGUGUGUAGGCGGUUCUUUAAGUUUGGUGUGAAAUCUCCCGGCUCAACCGGGAGGGUGCGGUGAAUACUGAGGGACUAGAGUACGGGAGAGGAAAGUGGAAUUCCUGGUGUAGCGGUGAAAUGCGUAGAUAUCAGGAGGAACACCGGUGGUGUAGACGGCUUUCUGGACCGUAACUGACGCUGAGACACGAAAGCGUGGGUAGCAAACAGG
rnacentral:rRNA from 1 species